UCCCCAGUGGCCUAGUGGCUAAGGCUCCACUCUCCAAUGCAGGGGAUCCGGGUUUGAUCCCUGGUUGGGGAA
rnacentral:tRNA from 1 species